GAUGAACGCUGGCGGCGUGCCUAAUACAUGCAAGUCGAGCGAACAGACGAGGAGCUUGCUUCUCUGACGUUAGCGGCGGACGGGUGAGUAACACGUGGAUAACCUACCUAUAAGACUGGGAUAACUUCGGGAAACCGGAGCUAAUACCGGAUAAUAUUUUGAACCGCAUGGUUCAAUAGUGAAAGACGGCUUUGCUGUCACUUAUAGAUGGAUCCGCGCCGCAUUAGCUAGUUGGUAAGGUAACGGCUUACCAAGGCAACGAUGCGUAGCCGACCUGAGAGGGUGAUCGGCCACACUGGAACUGAGACACGGUCCAGACUCCUACGGGAGGCAGCAGUAGGGAAUCUUCCGCAAUGGGCGAAAGCCUGACGGAGCAACGCCGCGUGAGUGAUGAAGGUCUUCGGAUCGUAAAACUCUGUUAUUAGGGAAGAACAAAUGUGUAAGUAACUGUGCACGUCUUGACGGUACCUAAUCAGAAAGCCACGGCUAACUACGUG
rnacentral:rRNA from 1 species